rnacentral:tRNA from 1 species
CUUCAAAAAGUAGUAUAUUUAUUACAACUCGCUUACACCGAAUUAAAGGCUUAAAACCCUUUUUGAAGA